UGGCUCAGGACGAACGCUGGCGGCGUGCCUAACACAUGCAAGUCGAGCGAGGAGAUUCCUUCGGGAUGAUCCUAGCGGCGGACGGGUGAGUAACACGUGGGCAACCUGCCUCAUAGAGAGGAAUAGCCUUCCGAAAGGGAGAUUAAUACCUCAUAACAUUGCAGUUUCGCAUGGAACAGCAAUUAAAGGAGCAAUCCGCUAUGAGAUGGGCCCGCGGCGCAUUAGCUAGUUGGUGAGGUAACGGCUCACCAAGGCGACGAUGCGUAGCCGACCUGAGAGGGUGAUCGGCCACAUUGGGACUGAGACACGGCCCAGACUCCUACGGGAGGCAGCAGUGGGGAAUAUUGCACAAUGGGGGAAACCCUGAUGCAGCCAACGCCGCGUGAGUGAUGACGGCCUUCGGGUUGUAAAGCUCUGUCUUCAGGGACGAUAAUGACGGUACCUGAGGAGGAAGCCACGGCUAACUACGUGCCAGCAGCUGC
rnacentral:rRNA from 1 species